rnacentral:lncRNA from 1 species
UCGAAAUUUAAUCAAACUCAGUGUCAAAAUCUAAUUUAAAUCAUUUCGGCUACAAUUGGCUUUAAAUUGCAUAAAUAAGGCCUGGCCCAUGUCCAGCAUAACACAUGGAAGUGUGCACUUGAGGCAGCAGUGACAGCAACGUGAUGGAAGUUAUUAAUGCCCCAUUACCCCAGUGAACGCCAGUGUGGUUCCAAUUCCCAAUUGUAUGCAGCUAGAACUGCCCCAAUUCGACGAUCGAUUGGGCUUCAAUUACCCAAAUUAUCCAAAAUAUUUAAUGCAACUUGGCACUCGCGUCAGCAGGAGCAGGAGCACAUACCUGUGGCAGAAAGCAGAAGGCAAACCCAAACCAAACACACUCUUUGCCAGCAACAACAUGCAAAUGGAUGUGUAGGAGCAGCAGGCAGAUACCAGCCACAAGGCAGGUUCAAUUGGUUAGUGUGUGUUUGUGUUUGUGUGUGUUUAGAAGGUGUUGGCCAAGGCCACUGUUGUGCAGAGCAACUGACCAGGCUUCUUGCAUGUAAUUGACAUUGGCCCCUUGCGUUUGAUUAAUUGCUGAGGGCCGGGGGUCAGCCUUCCAGGCCAUUGACUCGGAAUGCUUCGAAUGUGCCCAUAGAUCUGUAUCUCCGAAUGUAUCUGCCUCUGCAUCUGUGUUCGUAUCUGUUUCUGAGCCUGUAUCAAUUUGUAUCUUUGUGCUCUUUGUGGGGCAAUAAAUUGGACAUGUUCGACAUGCUUUCCAAUUACUUGCGCUGGCAUUAAACAAAUGCAAUUCACUUGACACACGUCGAAAGUUGGGCAGCCGCUUCCUUGCAACUGCUGCCAUGCAGGACGAGCUGCCAAGGAGCCAAAGAGCGAAGAAGCACUUGUCCCUGCAUUUGGUUUAUGCAACUGUCGCCUGCAAGCGAUGGAAAAACUCAAAGAGAAAGCAGGCGGCGGGAGGCGGGUCCUGCCGCUUCAAUGAACCUCAAUGGGCGCCUGUGCUAUCCAAGAAACAUAAUUCAAGAAUGCAAAGGACCAGGAAUCGAGCGAAAAGCGCAAGCAAAGGACAUCCACAUCUUGCCACAGGCUAUCUCUGCCUCGGCCUCACCAUCUUCAGAGGCAUAAUUUAAAUGCUCCACAAGCGUAGAGUUUCCCAUGCAUAGUUUAUGAUUCCGGUUCCUGCAUCCCGGCUCCCGGCUCCCGGCUCCCGUCUCUCUCAACUCGUACUAUCUAUGCAUUUCUAUGAAUUAAACCAACUGCACAGAAUGUCGCAGAUAAUUCAAUGCACCUACACAGCGCAUUUUUAUGGCUCUCAUUCAACCAUUCAGCCAACCAUUCAGGCCCCACAACCACAACCCAUCCUCGGCAUCAGUUCUCGACUCCUUGGCAGUCGAAAAGUGCCACGAGGGUAAUUUAAAAAUCCAUUUGUGUUUUGAGAUUUUGUUGGCAGCGUCCACGGCUGACUCCGGGCCACGGAGAGGGCGAACGGGCCAACAAUUGCUGUGCCAACCGCCGGAAUAAAAACGACAGGGAGUGGAGAGUGGAGCGUGGAGCUGGGAAAAUGGGAAAUGGGAAAUGCGAACGUCGAGCGUCGAACGUCGCAUGCCUGACUAGAUGACGGCGCGACCUGACUGGGUGACACAAUUUCAAUUUGCAUUGACAGCAUGAAUUAUAGCAAAUAAUCCCCGAAGGAAAAUGCGAUUUUAGCGAUGCCCGCAGGCUACCAGCUCGCAGCCUCCUGCUGCCAGCUUCAAUCGCCCAUCUGCAGCUUUUCGUCCUUCUGUCAAUCGUUUUGGCACUGACCCGCGUGGACAUUCCGCUGUUAUUGAUAUGGAAAUAAUGCUCCACGCAGGAUGGUGGGAAAAAGACCAGGCAAGACUUGCAUAAAAUGAAGUAAAAUGGAAUUCACGAACAAAAAUAAAACAGCGACCAUAAAAGGAAAUAAAAUUUAAAUUUCAUGCGGCGGCAGAACAGUUAAUUUUGCCAAGCAGGACAGAUAGGAAGACGGAGACGGAGACGGAGACAGAGAAAAAUAAAUAUAAAGAGUAGGAGAGGAAGAGGCAGAGGGUGAAUGGAUACCCAAUUGCUUGUGGAAAAGGCUAAUGAGGAUAGAACAUAAAAUCGAAAAGUGAGUGGGUACAUUGAUAACUAAAAAUGUUUGCAAUUUCAUUUCAAUUUAUGUUGAAAGGUCACAGGUCAUUUGCUAAAAGUAAUUGGAGGAAAUAGGAAACUAAUUUAAGUAGAAAAUGC